ACAAAGUGAAAGAAAAAGUAAAUUAUAAACAAUAGAAGCCCUGGACUAGCAUGCCGUGUCCCCUUGGAGAAGCAGCUUUUUUUUUUCUUUUUUUUUAGGUAAAAGCAUCCCGAAAAUUCGGGUAAUUUUCAACGAAAG
rnacentral:ribozyme from 14 species